UUACACAGAGUUUUACUUUCUGAUUGGAAGAUGGAGACUGUCUCUUAUAGUGAUGGUAAUAUUGUCAAAAUAGAAUAUGAUCACAUCUGUAGACAGCCUGUUCAUUCCCUUACUUAUUGCUUCCCAGAAUAAAUUGAUGAUGUUGGAGAUGGUUCAUUACAUGGGACUCGGGGGGCCGAAGGUGGAGCAGUACUUACCAUCCAUGCCCUCCUGGAGUCUCUGAACUGUAAAAUGUUAUGAUACACAAAUACAGGAAGUGAUGAAGUGGAGAGCCAGCACUGGCAGUGAAGAGCUGAGACUUUGUUCCUGGAGCAUAAAACAUACACAACUUUCUUUGCAUUUCUCCAUCCCAUCAGUUCCUGCUUUAUUCUCACCUGGGGUACUAAAAUAAUCUUGAAGUUGGUGUCCUUUCCCCAGGACAUCUACUGUCUCUCAAUCUCUUUCGCAUACUGCUCC
rnacentral:lncRNA from 1 species